rnacentral:rRNA from 1 species
AUUGAACGCUGGCGGCAUGCCUUACACAUGCAAGUCGAACGGCAGCACGGGUGCUUGCACCUGGUGGCGAGUGGCGAACGGGUGAGUAAUAUAUCGGAACGUACCUUAUUGUGGGGGAUAACGCAGCGAAAGCUGUGCUAAUACCGCAUAAUCCCUAAGGGGGAAAGCGGGGGACCGUAAGGCCUCGCGCAAUUAGAGCGGCCGAUACCUGAUUAGCUAGUUGGUGAGGUAAAGGCCCACCAAGGCGACGAUAGGUAGCUGAUGUGAGAGCAUGAUCAGCCACACGGGCACUGAGACACGGGCCCGACUCCUACGGGAGGCAGCAGUGAGGAAUAUUGGUCAAUGGACGCAAGUCUGAACCAGCCAUGCCGCGUGAAGGAUGAAGGCGUUCUGCGUUGUAAACUUCUUUUAUUGGGGAAGAAACCUGAGAUUUCUAUUUCAGCCGACGGUACCCAAGGAAUAAGCACCGGCUAACUCCGUGCCAGCCGCCGCAGUAA